rnacentral:tRNA from 1 species
GGGCGUAGCUCAGUUGGCAGAGCGUCAGCCUUCCAAGCUGAAGGUCGCCGGUUCGAGACCGGUCGCC